rnacentral:lncRNA from 1 species
UCGAAUUGGCCUCAACUUGAGUCGAAUCUAACCAAAAUAAGAAUCACGACGUUAAAAUAUGCUAAGGGAACGAAGCCCUAUGCGAAAAUAAUCAAUUUACAACAUAAAUCCCGAAUUUAACCAAAACCCGACCCCCUGGCCCACGUCUAAGAAUUCGAUAAAAUUUACAUCAAUAGAUUCCUCAUCUCCCCACGAGUUCAUACAUAUCAAAAGUCGCAAAAUCCUACCACAAAUGGCCCCUAAAAUCCCCAAGUCAAGGUAUCCAAUACCAAACCCUAGUUUUCCAAAUUUUUAACCCUUAAUUUCCAUAAUUACAAGCCUAAUCGGUGAAAUAAUUCCAUAGAAUCGAUUAUUAGGUUCAAAAAUCUUACCUCCAGACGUUAUCCUUUGAAUCCCUCUUCAAAAUCUCCCAAAAAGCUCCAAAACCGACUUGAAAUGGUGGAGAACAACUCAAAAAUCACAAAGGAAUUCUUUUAUACCUUCUGGCCUAGGAUUUUCGCACCUGCGACCUAAAUCCCGCUUCUGCGGCCUAAUCAACCGCAUUUGCGAUUUUCACUUAAAUGGCCAUUUUCGCAUCUGCAGUUAAAAACCUCGCACUUGCGCUACCGCAGGUGCGCCCACUUCACCGCUUCUGCGGUUCCUGAUGAUCUUCUUCUUGGACACAUCUGUGGCUGCCUUCCGCUUCUGCGAGCAUCGCACCGGCGGCCUCCCAACCGCAUGUGUGGUUAUAACAGCAACAAAAUGCUUCAGCUAUCCCAACUCAACUUCAAACCUUCCGCCAAUCAUCCGAAAUCACCCCGAGGCCCCCAGGACCUCAACCAAAAGCAUAAACCAAUCAUAUACCACUACCCAAACUUAUACCAAUCUUUGAAACACCUCAAACAACAUCUAAUCCAUCAAAUCACAUCGAAUUCAAGCCUAAGGUUCCAAAAUCUUCUGAAUUCUGCUUUUGAUCAAAAAGUCUACCAAACCAUGUCCGAAUGACCUGAAAUCUUGCACACACAUCCCAAAUGACACAACAGACCUACUGCAACUCCUGAAAUUCCAUUCCGAUCACUAUAUCAAAAUCUCACUUAUAAACCGGAAAACGUCGAAAUUCUAAUUUCGCCAAUUCAAGCCUAAACCUUCCACGGACCUCCAAAAUACAUUUCGAUCACGCGGUGCAAAAGUCAUAAUACAUUACACGAGGCUAGUCAUGCUCGAGAACUGGUGAGCGAAGUGCAAAAGCUCAAAACGACCGGUCGAGUCGUUAUAUUCUCCCCCACUUAAACAUAUGUUCGUCCUCGAACGUGCCUAGAGUUGUUCCGAAAGCCAUUAAAUCAUUGUGUAACCUUACCAUGCACAUGCCUGGGGGUGAUCCCACGUCACCCUAUCUCAUAUAGGUCCGAUAAUACAAUGUAACUAAAAUUUUGCAAUCCAACCUAGCCCAUAAACCCUAGAACCACAUUUCCACUUCUGAAAUCACCCACAAGAGUAGAAUCCCACAUUUAUACCCUGAAUAAGCCCGAACAAGCUAUAACAAACCAUACCUACAACCUCAUAUGCAAUUACAUGAUGUACUACAUAACUCAAACACUCGUGGCGAUAACCUCUAAUUGUAGUAGUUGCUCAAAACACCCGAAUAUUGAUAAUAAGCCUCUUAUCCAAUAAAGCCUCAUUCCAACACUCCCGUAUACUGCCAAUGAUAAAAGAAACACGUAAAAAGUCGUAACCAUUCCUCAUAUCAACCAUUAGUGAAGCCACUUCUCUCUUGACAAUGACCAUAGACAUUUCUAAGCCUAACAUCGAUAUUAUCCUUCCAACACGCUGAAACCGAAUCCGUUUGUAUUCCUCAGAGAUCCCAACGAUCUCAUCUAAUCCAACACUACUACUCUGGUGACAUGUCACAUCAAUACCAUCUAAAGCCGCAACUCGUGCAAUCCGCACACCAAUAGGCAACAAUCCAAACGUACUCAAAUCAUGAAAAUGACUCAAAUGAGUGAGAUGUAUCGUAACCUCACCAGUACCACCAUACACAAUGCUGAGAACUCGCCACACAUCUUAGCACCAGAACACACGAAUCUAACCCGAAGGGUCAUACCUCCACAUAACUUCGCUGCAAUGCGCGAUCCUAUCCGAACACUGGUUCACGUGAAACACCUCAAGUCACUAUGCUCAAAUUCGACAACCACGCACAAAUUUAUUGUCUAAAACCAAAGCAAAUCAUCAUAACCAUGGCAAAGCAAUUGACAUAACAUUACACAUCCCGAAAGGACAAAACCAAUACGCCAUCCACCGAGCAAUACCCAAUACUCUUCCCGCUCGAAUUCCACUAUGAAACCCCAAUAAGACCACACCAUAUGUGCCUAUAAUUAACAAAUCAUAACGCCUCGCAACACAGGAAAGUAACUCAUGGAUCACCUUAGAACACUAAUAGCUCAAUAAUAACCGAAUAACCACAUCCCUCGACAAUAGCAACUCGAAGUCAACAAAGCUGACUCGAUGUAGAACACACAUCCAUUCUGAUCUGCCAAUGAACCCCUUACCAAGAGUUCCUAACGCUUCUCCUUCAACUCCUUUAACUCCGCCAGUGCCAUACGAUACGGUGCCCGACACCAAAUCAAUACCGAAAUCAACAACCCUGUCCGGUGACAUACCGGCCGCAAGAAACACAUCCGAAAAAUCCCUCACCACCGGAACUGAAUCAAUGGUAGGAGUCUUUGCACUGACAUCCGUCACGAAGGCCCAAAUAAGAAGACAAUCCUUCCCAGCCAUCCGUUGGGUCUUCAAAAUGAAAUCACCCUACUGAAAACAUAAUCCGUCGAACUUCGCCACUCAAUCUGUGGCAUCCCCGGCAUAACCAACGUGCCAUCUUAGCAUAACAACCCAGAAUAACACAACAGUGAGACAACUAGUCUAUACCCAAUAUCACAUCCAAAAUCUAACAUACCAAGCAAUAAAGAUCCACUCGGGUCUCCAAACCUCCAAUAGUUACUACACAAGACCGAUAUACGCGGUCCACAACCACGACCUAACCUGUCCACGAGAACUCCCAGUCUCCAAAUCCAUACAGCAGGCGAAUCACCAUAUCUGAUCCCACAUCCACAGUCUAAAUACACAACACACCUCUAACACCCAAUUCUCUCACUAGAGGUACUCCAAAAAUUCUUCUGUGCCAACAAGUAAACUCGAAUAUCAGUCAUCGAUCCAAUAAGAGAGCGCCGCAAUACUAAUGAAGUAUCAUUAACUCAAUCACAUUGUACUUUUUUUGAAACGUAUACCCUCAUCAAGCCACAUCAAUUAGUAAUAUCAUUUCCCUAAUCAUCUGAACCGUCCAUGCCACCUAAGAAUUUGUGACCUCCCUUUCAAAACUGAAUCGUGACCUUACACAUGCAAAUCUCAACCCUACACAACAUACCGCAUAUACCAUACCAUCCUAGGAUGAAUAUGAGAACUUCAUACCCCUUCCGAGCCACAAGCAGCUACGUACUCAACUAGCCAAGAACUUUCCAUUGAUCCCAUCUAGAAGAAAAUCACUACACAUCCUCUGCUUCUCACGCUCGUAGAAAAUAUGCAUCUCUAACCGUGGCAGAAACCAUCAAGAACUCUUUGAAUUCCAUUUGCACAACACAAAACCAUCAGGACUGAAUCCUUCUAACUCAACCAAGCUACGCAGAUCACUAAAACUCAAGAGCAUUGUUGUGAAACACCUAUAGGAACUUUUUACCUUAUAAGCACCCAAAGAACUCAUCAUAUCCUUUCCCAUGCCGAUCCGACCUACUACCAAGCUAUCCCAUUUAUACAAGUUCCUCCGAAUUUACCUUCAACUUGAUACUUCUUCUCGUUAUCACAUCAAAAUCCUCGACCCAGACUCACCACAUGAGACUCGAGCAUAAUACCACACCGUCUAAGGCUCAUAAGCCGCUGACUACUUUCUCAAAUAUACCCAAAAACACCACAUUCGAAAUACUUUACUCUGAAGAGACUUCCUGCGAAUCUAAAUCCGUCACCUUCACCUUCCCCUUCCUGAUGUUGAUGUGUAGAAUCCAUAAUGAUAUAGAAAUACCACAAGUCUUGACACCCUCCAAUGCCACCUCAGUUUCUAGCCAAAUAUACAACCCGAAAAUCUCCAAUUAUUCAAUGUAAGAUCUUGAACACAUUAGAACCAUUCUUGAAAGUCAUCGACUCUGCUCAAACUGCAAUUAGACUGAUCAAAUGAACCGAACAACCUAUGCCUCAUUAGCACUCUGACACCGCAGAAUGUAACCUCACCUCAAUGCAACCAAGCAACUUUUUUUCCUAUGUACGGAGCAUCCUUUACCAAUAACAACUCAAGACAUUCUGUGAUUCUCAUACACCUAUGAAGCAUAAUAUAACCUUUGUCAAAGUUUUCCUCUACUCUAGCUAUCCUCGGUCCCAAUCCCUGCAAGCCAUAACUAAUUCACCAGUACACCUCAAACUGGAACCAACAUAGCAUAUAACUGUGCAAUCACCUAAUCAAUAGCAGACUCCCCCACUUGGAUCAAAGCCAUAGAUCCAAACAUACAAUAACUCAUAAUAUGUAUACUCUAUCAUUGCCAUAAUACCAUAGUGAAAUUAAACUCAACCCUUCAUAAGCUCGUACAACACAAACCAUCUAGUACUUUAAAUCUUCUGCAAAUCUCGCAUUCGCCCUCGCAGUAGUCAAGCCCACUCUCUUAGGCGAUCCAAAUUCAAAUUGCAGCAUAUACAUUUCACUAGUAGAGGAGAUCUUCUAUCAAUCCACAUAAGGAUCACACAACUUCAGAACACUCCGCAGGAGAUAACCCACGUGCUUCGCCUCAAACUAACAUUUCUUUAUACCUUCCACCGUCAUAAACAUUACAUAGUCGCUUAAUCUUCUUGAGUCUGAACUCACAACACAACGUGAAAUCUACUUCACUUCCUAACUAGAAAACAUGAAAAAAUUCUUCACACACCCAUAACUCGGGGCUAUACCUCAAAUCAAUAUGGAAAUCAAACACCAAAUAGUUCUUCUAUCCUCCAGCAGACCCUUCUCGUCGCUUCCAAAUCAUAUGAAUACAUCGCAGUCAUAUCAUACUCAUAACAUAGCUACCCAGUCAUCACUCCCAUUAAUAGGGACACUAUCGGACAUACAAAUCCACAAGCACAUGCUCACACAAUCAACACCUCAGUGCUCAAGAUGUAGGCAAAAACCCGGCCUCAUGUCCUCUAGACUGGCCCCAUAUCAACACACAGAGAUCACGUCUCGCCCCUCGAUCAGGGAAUCACAAGUCAUCGAUGCAUAUCUGAUACGAAGCGCUUAUGCGCGCAUACGAACACGUGGAAGGGAUUCAAAGAGUUACAUUCCAAGCUGAAUCAAGGACGCGCGAUAAGAAUUUGAGAAGGCGAAAUUUUUCCUAAAGGUUCUGCAGCCUCCCGAGGAUAAGUACAGACGUCUCUGUACCGAUCCGCGAAACUCUACUAAACCUGCUCAUGACUCGUGAGACCUACGUAACCUAGGCUCUGAUACAAAAUUGUCACAACCCUAAACCCAGACCUGGUCGUGUUGUCACUUCUCAUGAAGACAAGGCCAGUCGACACAACACCCAAUUCAUUUUAAACGAUUCAAAUAGAACAAAUAAGUCAUUAACAUGAUUAAAUCUCAAUAGAAACAGUGAAAUAGUACAAUUUGCGAAAAAAACAACACAGCCCGACAUCGGGGGUCACCAGUCAUGAGCAUCUAUUAGAAGUUUACAAGUUUGGAAAGAGUUUGCACAUUAUAUUACAUAACUAGGGCAAAGGAAAUAAAAUAGGAGGGAGAGACACUGGGCUGCAAACGCCGAGCAGCUACCUAGUGGACUCCGAAUAGCUUGCUGAGCAAUCAACCCUCACUGGCGGAACCUGAAGCUCCUAAAUAUGCGCACAGGGUACAAGGAGUAAAGUGAAUACUCCUACUCAGUGAGUAAUAACAAUAAAUGAAGACUGAGCGAUAAAAAAUCACGUGAAAACACAACAACACGCUAUAAAGAAGCAGAGUAAAACCAGUAAAGUGCAAUAAAAUAGUGAAAUCUCAUAAAACACCUUAGUGUAUAAGCUUCUUUAAAAUACCUUUUUAACAGUUAAACAAGUAGAUAACAGGCAACUAGAAGAGAUAAAGACAUAAAAACCGCCCCUCGGGCACAAUACCAACAAAAUCAACCCCUCGGGCAACAACAUGGAACAACACCAGCCCAUCGGGCUAUAUCUCAUAUCACAAUGGGUACCCGCGCUUACUAGGGGUAUACAGACUCCGGGAGGGGCCCCUUACGGCCCAAGCGUAAUAUCAAUCCAUCUCGUGGCAUAAUCAAUAUGCUCUCGGCCUCAUAUCAAGCCACCUCAUGGCGUACAACUCAGGCCCUCGGCCUCAUAAUCAUAAAUCAAUAUGUCAUUGCUGCUGCGUGUAGCCCGACCCAAAAGUAUCCUCACAACACAGGCCCUCGGACUUACUCAGUCAUAAUCUCAUAAGCCACUCGGGCAACAGUAAAACAUGAUGCUCAGCCCAAAAUAUCAUUUGAAACAUCAUUUAAUGUAUUAAAACAGAGUAAACAUGACUGAGUUAUGAAAACAGUAGAAUAAAGCAUGACUGAGUACAAAUAUAAAGUCAAAACAAUGAGGAAUAGUAGUAAAGAUCCCUAAGGGUUCCAAAACAGUUGGCACGAGGCCCAAAUAUGGCAUUCAGCCCAAGACAUGAUGAUAACAAACAAUUUUUAAUCAAAUAUUCAGUAAAACAGUCAUUCGGGACGGACUAAGUCACAAUCUCCAACAUAGCACAACGAUGUGUAAUCCGGGGUUUCAUACCUUCAAGACAACAUUUACAAUCAUUACUCAACUCGAUUCGGUCUAAACUCUAGCCCGCGAUGCCUUUGCCCCUCGAAUCGACCUCAACUCGCGUCGAAUCUAACCAAAAUCAGAAUCACGACGUCAAAAUAUGCUAAGGGAACGAAGCCCUAUGCGAAAAUAAUCAAUUUACAACAUAAAUCCCGAAUUUAACCAAAACCCGACCCCCGGGUCCAUGUCUCGGAAUUCGAAAAAUUUACAUAAACAGAUUCCUCAUCUCCCCACGAGUUCAUACAUAUUAAAAGCCCCAAAAUCCGACCACAAAUGGACUCUCAAAUCCCCAAGUCAAGGUCACCAAUACCAAGCCCUAGUUUUCCAAAUUUUUAACCUUUAAUUUCCAUAAUUGCAAGCCUAAUCCGUGAAAUACUGCCAUAAAAUCGAUUAUUAGGUUCAAAAAUCUUACCUCCAGACAUUAUCCCUUGAAUCCCUCUUCAAAAUCUCCCAAAAAGCUUCAAAACCGACUUGAAAUGGUGGAGAACAACUCAAAAAUCACGAAGGAAUUGUUUUAUACCUUCUGGCCCAGGCUUUUCGCACCUGCGACCCAAAUCCCGCUCCUGCGGUCCCGCUUCUGCGGCCUAAUCAACCGCAUCUGUGGUUUUCACUUAAAUGGCCAUUUCCGCAUCUGCGGUUAGAAACCUCGCACAUGCGCUACCGCAGGUGCACCCCACUUUACCGCUUCUGCGGUUCCUGAUGCCCUUCUUCUUGGCCGCAUCUGCGGCUGCCUUCCGCUUCUGCGAGCAUCACACAUGCGGCGUCCCAACCGCAGGUGCGGUUAUGACAGUAACAAAAUGCUUCAGCUAUCCCAACUCAACUUCAAACCUUCCGCCAACCAUCCGAAAUCACCCCGAGGCCCCCGGGACCUCAACCAAAAGCAUAAACCAGUCAUAUACCACUACCCAAACUUAUACCAAUCUUCGAAACACCUCAAACAACAUCGAAUGCAUUAAAACACUUCGAGUUCAAGUCUAAGGUUCCAAAAUCUUUCGAAUUCCGCUUUUGAUCAAAAAAUCUACUAAACCACGUCCGAAUGACUUGAAAUCUUGCAUACACAUCCCAAAUGACACAACGGACCUUCUGCAACUCCCGGAAUUCCAUUCCGACCACUAUAUCAAAAUCUCACCUAUCAACACGAAAACGUCAAAAUUCCAAUUUCGCCAAUUCAAGCCUAAACCUUCCACGGACCUCCAAAAUAAAUUCCGAUCACGCUCCAAAGUUCCAAAUCGCCUAACGGAGCAAACCAAAUCAUAAAAAUUCCAAUCCGAGGUUAUCUACGAACAAGUCAAAUCUUGGUCAAACCUUUCAAAAUUUUAAGCUUCAAAUUGAGGACUGUUCUUCCAAAUUCAUUCCGAUUAUCCUGAAAUCCAAAACCGAUGAUUUACAUAAGUUAAUAUAUCACACGGGGCUAGUCAUGCCCGAGAACUGGCGAGCGGAGUGCAAAAACUCAAAAUGAUCGAUCGGGUCGUUACAACCUUAUUAUUCAUCCACCAAUUGGCAGAAAAUACAUGUAUAGGCCUUAGUAGUUGGAAAUCGAAACAAGACUUCGAUAUUAUAGUAGACUCUCUUUUACAGAGUUUUUUUAAUUAGAACAAAAAAUCUAAUGAGAAGAACAGUGAAAAUAAACUCACAUAUGUUGAUUUAGUAUUAAUUAAUUGGCCAGUAGGUUUAGAAACAAAUAAAAAAAACAGCAAUACGAAGGGAGAGACAUAAGAAACAAUUUUAUCUUUGAGCCUCUCUUGUUAUUAUUCAAUGUAUUUUUCCCAAGUUUGAAUUAGUUGGAAUUUAUUACAAUCACAUUACACGACACAAGUGAUUGGUAAUUGGUAUAAGGUUCUAAAUCUUCAUUUUGCUUGAGGUUGUAUACAUUUUUCUUAAAUUUUAUUAUUCUUGGCUUACUCUUUUUUUAUAAUCCUGACAUUUGGAUCAAUUUGUGUGUAUCUUAAUUAAUUGGAAAAAAUUAAAAAAUAGCCAGAUUUACAAGUUGUCAUUCAAAAAUAGUCAUAGUUUCAAAAGUAAUCAAAAUUUAGCCAUUUUUCAUGUAAAGAUAAAUCUAAACGAAAACAAUGUUCAAAAUCCGGGAAAAUACUCCAGUAUAAUAUGUCACACCUCCUUUUUACUACCCCCGGAAGGGGAUAUAAGGGAGUUUUUCUCAAUUUAAGUGACAAUCGAAACAGAAUUAUUUAUAUUAAAAUCAGAGUUGCCACUUGGGAUAGUUUAUUGGUGUCCCAAGUCACCGGUUUAAAAUCUCAAAUCGAGGAAAGUUUGACUCUAAUUAUGGUCUGCGGACACAGAAAUUUAGGUAAGGAAUUCUGUUAACCCAGGAGAAGGUGUUAGGCAUUCCCGGGUUCCGUGGUUUUAACACAGUUGCUUAACUAUUAAUAUUGGCCCAAUUAUCUGAUGUAAUUACACAUUUUAAACCUAUGUGCACUUUUUAACUUUCUAACCGCUUUUAAUAUUUUUAGGAAAAUUCAAGGUUAUUUAAAACACAUCGUAAGCCACGCUACAUGAAAUGCACCCGCGGUUCACGACAGGUUUUAUUUAACAUUGUUGAAAAUUGGAGCCAGGUCACAUGAAAUGUACACCCGGAUUUUAGCAAUCACAAAUCACAACUACGUCACGAGAACCGUACCCAUAGUCACGACGAUUAUUUACACGUCGAAAGCAAAGCUGCAAAUGUUUAUGAAUACUGCUGACCUAAGCAUGCUCUUAAUGGGUUGUAACACGAAAUAUAAUAAUGAAUCAAAGUGAUUUGAGUAAACUUUAACUCUGAUAAUGACGAUUAAAGAGAAAUAUGAAACCCCUGAAGCUCAAACAUAUUAACUCUAAAUUCUACAAAAUAAUCUACGAGACUUACGAGGCAAACACAAUUAAUGUCUAUUAUAUAUAUGGCUAAACUAAUAUUUUAUACCCUAAUACCAAUUCACACCAAACUAUUGAUAAUGAAACCUUUAACAUCUUAAUUAAAGAGUAUAACAUGGAAUUUAAAGACUUCCUAUCCAUUAAGCUAACAAAAACUCAAUAUGAGCUGACAACAUACAUGAAAUAAAAUAGCAAAUACUAACAUAUCCGCAAAUCAAAACGAUAAAAGCAUUAAUCCAAACAGUUCAUAAAACAGAGAGUAACAAAUUGACAGAAGUACACUAUUAAGCCAAACGGAAUAUGAGAAAAUGAGGAACCAAACCUCAAAAUGGAUCAGAACAUUAAUUGUGAGGUAACGUUAACGCUUUGUUUGCUCCGGCAUAGCGGUGGCUGGAGAUUGAACACUACUGCCACUGAACACUGUGAAAUCUAGCUGCCUAGCCAGCUUCUUUGCCGAUAAAUCCACUGCCACCUACGGUUGCACCAUUGUAGCUGCAGCAACGGAAAUAGCCACCUCCGAUUGAACCUUGUUAGGAGGAAAUGAAAUCCCCUCUAUGACUAUUCUCCAUUCAAACACAAUAAAAUCUCACUAAACACCCCAAAAUUAAAAAAAAUAAAUCUCAUAAAUUCACUGAUUACCCAUUGCUAAUACCACGAUAAUUCCACAACAUUCAACCAAUAUAACGAGAAACUGCUCUUGAGUAUUACAUAAGCCGAACAAGACGCCUUUUCAAUUUUCAAACCUAUUUCUAAUUUGAAUUCGGAUGAUGAACCGUUACUUCUAUUACACAGAAAUUACUACUACUA